NNAAUACUCCCUCCAUCCGGAAUUACUUGUCAUCAAAAUGGAUGUGUCUAGAACUAAAAUACAUCUAGAUACAUCCAUUUCAAUGACAAGUAUUUUCGGACGGAGGGAGUAGUAG
rnacentral:pre_miRNA from 1 species